UACGAAGGGGGCGAGCGUUGUUCGGAAUUACUGGGCGUAAAGGGCGCGUAGGCGGCGACUCAAGUUAGAUGUGAAAGUCCUGGGCUUAACCUGGGGACUGCAUUUGAUACUGGGUUGCUUGAAUUCGGGAGAGGAUAGCGGAAUUCCCAGUGCAGAGGUGAAAUUCGUAGAUAUUGGGAAGAACACCGGUGGCGAAGGCGGCUAUCUGGACCGACAUUGACGCUGAGGCGCGAAAGCGUGGGGAGCAAACAGG
rnacentral:rRNA from 1 species